ensembl:misc_RNA Telomerase-vert Vertebrate telomerase RNA
UGGGCCCGGGAGGGGUGGCGGUCACCCUUUUUCUAACCCUAACUAAGAAUGGCGUAGGCGCCGUGCUUUUGGUCCCCGCGCGCUGUUUUUCUGGCUGACUUUCAGCGGGCGGAAAAGCCUUGGCCUGCCGCCAACCACCGUUUAGUCUGGAGCAAACAAAAAAUGUCAGCUACUGACCCGUCACCCCUCCCGGGGACCUGCGGGGGCUCGCCCGCCCUGUUCCCGCGCCCCGCCUAAAGGCCGCGGUAGGCCCGGGGCUUCUCCGGAGGCACCCAUUGCCGCCGUGAAGAGUUCGUCUCUGUCAGCCGCGGGUGUCUCGGUUGCGAAGGGCGAGGCUUAGGCCGUCUGGUCGCAGGAAGAGGAACGGAACUGGUCCCCGUGCGCAGUGAGCUUCCUUGAGCUGUGGGAAGUGGACCCGGGACUCGGUUCAUACAUGC